rnacentral:rRNA from 1 species
UGCCAGCCGCCGCGGUAAUACGGAGGGGGCUAGCGUUGUUCGGAAUUACUGGGCGUAAAGCGCGCGUAGGCGGACUGGUCAGUUGGGGGUGAAAUCCCAAGGCUCAACCUUGGAACUGCCUUCAAAACUGCCAGUCUUGAGUCCGGGAGAGGUGAGUGGAAUUCCUAGUGUAGAGGUGAAAUUCGUAGAUAUUAGGAAGAACACCAGUGGCGAAGGCGGCUCACUGGCCCGGUACUGACGCUGAGGUGCGAAAGCGUGGGGAGCAAACAGGAUUAGAUA